rnacentral:rRNA from 1 species
UACGUAGGUGGCAAGCGUUGUCCGGAAUUAUUGGGCGUAAAGCGCGCGCAGGCGGUCCUUUAAGUCUGAUGUGAAAGCCCACGGCUCAACCGUGGAGGGUCAUUGGAAACUGGGGGACUUGAGUGCAGGAGAGAAGAGUGGAAUUCCACGUGUAGCGGUGAAAUGCGUAGAGAUCAGGAGGAACACCCGUGGCGAAGGCGGCCCUCUGGCUCGACCCUGACGCUGAGAGGCGAAAGCGUGGGGAGCGAACGGG